CAGAAUUAAAAUUGAGAUCUCCUGAGUCUCAGACCAGAUCCUUAUAAUCAUUGUUUUGUUGCUGCUACCAUCUGUAAUGCCUGAAAAGCCACUUCCACUGGGGAAAGCAUUACAACAAAAUAAGGAAGAAGAAAACCCAAUCUGGGCAUGAUGAGCCAUAAAGCAGCCCUGAAGCUCUGGGUUCCCGUGGUGCCCCAUGAAGAGCAGGAGGGACAGUGGCUGUAUCAAGAAAGCCUCCCCCAGCUACAGACAUCUUCCCCCUUGUUAACAGCAGCACUGAAGCUAGAAAACCUGGCUCUGCGGUGUUGGGGCAUAGGAUCCAUUUUGCUGCAUCCUGCAGCUGCCCACUCUAGGCAACUGCCUACUUUCCUAGCCGUGACUGCAGAAAUAGCAUCAACCCUUUGAAUCAGAAUGGAAUCCAUUAUUGCAACGCUGGUUCUGAUGUUUGUCAUAAAGGCAGCUGCCCUAAACAGAGCACUGCCUUCCUGUGUGUGCCAACCAGCAAGCAUUAACCUCAUGCCAAGCAAAGAUGCCAUUCAUACCAAAACAGUAUUUUAAAAUAUGUGGAAACAACAUUCUUACUAUUGCCUUUAUCAUUUAUGCAAGGAAGAUCUUUAAUAUAUGGGUAAAUUUCAAUUUGGA